rnacentral:rRNA from 1 species
AGGACGAACGCUGGCGGCGUGCUUAACACAUGCAAGUCGAGCGGUAAGGCCCUUUCGGGGGUACACGAGCGGCGAACGGGUGAGUAACACGUGGGUGACCUGCCCUUAGCUCUGGGAUAAGCCUGGGAAACUGGGUCUAAUACCGGAUAUGACCUCGCGAUGCAUGUCGUGGGGUGGAAAGCCUUGUGCGGCUAGGGAUGGGCCCGCGGCCUAUCAGCUUGUUGGUGGGGUGAUGGCCUACCAAGGCGACGACGGGUAGCCGGCCUGAGAGGGCGACCGGCCACACUGGGACUGAGACACGGCCCAGACUCCUACGGGAGGCAGCAGUGGGGAAUCUUGCGCAAUGGGCGAAAGCCUGACGCAGCGACGCCGCGUGAGGGAUGACGGCCUUCGGUUGUAAACCUCUUUCAGCCCUGACGAAGCGAAAGUGACGGUAGGGCGAGAAGAAGCACCGGCCAACUACGCGCCAGCACGCCGCGGUAA